UCCCUGGUGGCUCAGAGGGUAAAGCAUCUGCCUACAAUGCAGGAGACCUGGGUUCAACCCCUAGGUCGGGAA
rnacentral:tRNA from 1 species